rnacentral:rRNA from 1 species
GGUUUGAUCAUGGCUCAGGACGAACGCUGGCGGUGUGCCUAAUACAUGCAAGUCGUACGCACUGGCCCAACUGGUUGAUGGUGCUUGCACCUGAUUGACGAUGGAUCACCAGUGAGUGGCGGACGGGUGAGUAACACGUAGGUAACCUGCCCCGGAGCGGGGGAUAACAUUUGGAAACAGAUGCUAAUACCGCAUAACAACAAAAGCCACAUGGUCUUUUGUUUAGAAAGUAUGGCUUUGGCUAUCACUCUGGGAUGGACCUGCGGUGC